rnacentral:rRNA from 1 species
GAACAUACCCCCUCGGUUCGGAACUGAGACACGGCCCAAACUCCUACGGGAGGCAGCAGUGGGGAAUAUUGGACAAUGGGCGCAAGCCUGAUCCAGCCAUGCCGCGUGAGUGAUGACGGCCUUAGGGUUGUAAAGCUCUUUCGUCAGGGACGAUAAUGACGGUACCUGAAGAAGAAGCCCCGGCUAACUUCGUGCCAGCAGCCGCGGUAAUACGAAGGGGGCUAGCGUUGUUCGGAAUUACUGGGCGUAAAGCGCGUGUAGGCGGGUCUUUAAGUCAGGGGUGAAAUGCCAGGGCUCAACCUUGGAACUGCCUUUGAUACUGGAGAUCUUGAGUCCGGGAGAGGUGAGUGGAACUGCGAGUGUAGAGGUGAAAUUCGUAGAUAUUCGCAAGAACACCAGUGGCGAAGGCGGCUCACUGGCCCGGUACUGACGCUGAGAUGCGAAAGCGUGGGGAGCAAACAGGAUUAGAUACCCUGGUAGUCCACGCUGUAAACGAUGGAUGCUAGCCGUUAGGCAGCUUGCUGCUUAGUGGCGCAGUUAACACUUUAAGCAUCCCGCCUGGGGAGUACGGUCGCAAGAUUAAAACUCAA